rnacentral:rRNA from 1 species
AGGGUUCGAUUCUGGCUCAGGAUGAACGCUAGCGGCAGGCCUAAUACGAUGCAAGUCGGACGGGAGUCCCUUCGGGGGACGAGAGUGGCGGACGGGUGCGCAACGCGUAUGCAACCACCCCGACCCGGGGCAUAGCCGGUGGAAACGCCGGGUAAUGCGCCAUGAGCACGAGCUGGGGCAUCCCAGAAUGUGCAAAGCGAGAGCGGGACGGGACGGGCAUGCGUCCCAUUAGCUGGUGGCGGUGCAAUGGACCACCAAGGCUACGAUGGGUAGGGGAUCCUGAGAGGACGGUCCCCCACACUGGUACUGAGACACGGACCAGACUCCUGCGGGAGGCAGCAGUAAGGGAUAUUGGUCAAUGGUCGGAAGACUGAACCAGCCCAUGCCGCGUGAGGUAGGAAGGCCCUACGGGUCGUAAGCCGUCUUUUAUACGGGGACAAGGACGCGGUCGCGAACCGUGUUUGAGGGUACCGUAGGAAUAAGCGUCGGCUAACUCCGUGCCAGCAGCCGC